UACGGGGGGGGCAAGCGUUAUCCGGAGUUACUGGGCGUAAAGGGCGUGUAGGCGGUUUGUUAAGUCUGGCGUGAAAGCUCUCGGCUAAACCGGGAGAGGUCGUUGGAUACUGGCAAACUAGAGGAUGGUAGAGGCGUGUGGAAUUCCGGGUGUAGUGGUGAAAUGCGUAGAGAUCCGGAGGAACACCAGUGGCGAAGGCGACACGCUGGGCCAUACCUGACGCUAAAGCGCGACAGCAUGGGGAGCAAACGGG
rnacentral:rRNA from 1 species